UCCACUACCAGAGAUGCAUGCCCUGACAAUGAUGUCCACAAACAUUUUGAAACUCAAACGAUGCCUGCAGGUGAUGAUGGCGAUGACAACGACGACAACAUGCCUGAUGCAGAGAUUGUUCCAAGUCAAGUUCAACCUUGUUCAGCACCUGUGGUUACUGGCAGAGAGGAGUGUCCUGAGAAUGGAGUCUGUCAACCUCUUGAUACUUCAAGUACGUCCAAGGUUGAUGAUGAAAUUCCUCAUUCAGUGAUUGUUUCAAGCCAAGUUCAGCAUUAUUCAGCACCUGUGACUAUUUCCAGAGAGGAACGUCCUGAAAAUGGUGUCUGGCAAUGCCCUGAAACAUCAAACGCAUUCAUGGUUGGAGAUGUGAAUUCUGAUACACAAUAUGCUUCAUUCCAUGUUCAACGUGGUUUCGGAGAAUCAAGUUUCUCU
rnacentral:lncRNA from 1 species